UGGGGAAUUUUGGACAAUGGGCGCAAGCCUGAUCCAGCCAUGCCGCGUGCGGGAAGAAGGCCUUCGGGUUGUAAACCGCUUUUGUCAGGGAAGAAAUCUUCUGAGUUAAUACCUCGGGAGGAUGACGGUACCUGAAGAAUAAGCACCGGCUAACUACGUGCCAGCAGCCGCGGUAAUACGUAGGGUGCAAGCGUUAAUCGGAAUUACUGGGCGUAAAGCGUGCGCAGGCGGUUUUGUAAGACAGAGGUGAAAUCCCCGGGCUCAACCUGGGAACCGCCUUUGUGACUGCAAGGCUUGAGUGCGGCAGAGGGGGAUGGAAUUCCGCGUGUAGCAGUGAAGUGCGUAGAUAUGCGGAGGAACACCGAUGGCGAAGGCAAUCCCCUGGGCCUGCACUGACGCUCAUGCACGAAAGCGUGGGGAGCAAAACAGGAUUAGAUACCCCUGGUAGUCCACGCCCUAAAACGAUGUCAACUGGUUGUUGGGAAGGUUCCUUCUCAGUAACGUAGCUAACGCGUGAA
rnacentral:rRNA from 1 species